GACGAACGCUGGCGGCGUGCUUAACACAUGCAAGUCGAACGGAAAGGCCCUGCUUUUGUGGGGUGCUCGAGUGGCGAACGGGUGAGUAACACGUGAGUAACCUGCCCUUGACUUUGGGAUAACUUCAGGAAACUGGGGCUAAUACCGGAUAGGAGCUCCUGCUGCAUGGUGGGGGUUGGAAAGUUUCGGCGGUUGGGGAUGGACUCGCGGCUUAUCAGCUUGUUGGUGGGGUAGUGGCUUACCAAGGCUUUGACGGGUAGCCGGCCUGAGAGGGUGACCGGCCACAUUGGGACUGAGAUACGGCCCAGACUCCUACGGGAGGCAGCAGUGGGGAAUAUUGCACAAUGGGCGGAAGCCUGAUGCAGCAACGCCGCGUGCGGGAUGACGGCCUUCGGGUUGUAAACCGCUUUCAACUGUGACGAAGCGUGAGUGACGGUAAUGGGUAAAGAAGCACCGGCUAACUACGUG
rnacentral:rRNA from 1 species